CAUUCAUUGGACUUGGACAGCUUUGUUCCUUCUCUGGGACCAAGUCAACAAGCUGGGACCAGAGGAGCUGCGGCUGUAGCACGCAGCAAUUAAACUGUCAUUCAAAAGUGAGGGACCGAACAAAAGAGCAAAUAUACAGAUAUCCCUGGAAGCCAGAGUUCUUGGAAGGAAGAAAUACACAUGUUUCCUCAUGUGAUGUAAAGGCUGCUCAACCCCUCACCUAAAAUCAGUAUAUUCAGACAAGAAGGAAGAAGACAGAGCAGAAAAGGAGGGGAAAAACAAGGAGAAGGAGGAUGAAGAAGAGGAUGUGAUGGUGGUGGUAAUAAGGAGAAAUAGGCAAUGCCUUUAACAGGAAAGGACCUGUCCCUAAACCCCAGUAGACAGCUAUUUACAUCUUCUUUAGAAGGCUGUAUCUUAUGGACAUAUUUGCUGCAAGAAAGGCUAGGAAAUGAUUUCUAAAGCUGGACAUAUUGUUACCUUAA
rnacentral:lncRNA from 1 species